GUUCGACUCACACUAACAUCACCCAGAGAAGAUUAGCAUGGCCCCUGCACUAAGGAUGACACGCUCAAUCAAAGAGAAGCUACCAAUUUUU
rnacentral:snRNA from 18 species